GCUAGGGUUGUGUUGGGGUCGGAUGAAUUGCUCUGUCGAAUUUGUUCGCUGUUGUGUAGUAGUAUGUACAACAUAAUUGUAACGGCCCCUUUUUGUUUCAUGAAUUAGAUGUAGUUUUCCGUGCAAAUUAUGUACAACAUAAUUUGCUGUGUAGUAGUAUGUACAACAUAAUUGUAACGGUCCCUUUCGGAUGAAUUGCUCUGGUUGAAUAGAUCGAUUAAAUUUGCUCCUUUACUUUUUAUGUGAAAGAACUCUGGGGUUCUCCCACAUUUAUGCAUAUAUUACUGCUCGUUUGCAUUGGGCUAAUUGAUUUUGACGGCUUGUAGGCAAUGCACGGUAAGAACAACCAAGCUGCUCCAUCUGAGAAACAAGAGUCAGAAGAUGUAGCUACUGUUGCAGAAGAACCUGUCUGUACUGAAGUAGCAGAUGAAACUUGUUCCUAGCAGAUUUGAAAAUUUUGGAGAGCAGAUAGAUUGCAGCAGUACAGCCUAUCGCAUGAUGGAGAAAAGGAGCGUAGAGAAGAACAUUUGGCUUGAGCUGGAACGUGAGGUGCUUCACACCUUAGGGAUUUCAUCUACUGAAUGGACUUAACCAACAAGGACAUAGAAGCACUCUUGGGUGGACAUACUCUGGU